UUGCAUUUCAUCUCAUCUUUCGAUCAUCUGAGCAGGAUAUGGAUCGAAUAAAAAUAUAUCAUCUAGGGCUCUUUGAUCAUCUUUGUUGUAAAAAUCUGUGGCUCUUUUGAUUAUCGAUAAAAUCUUUUCAACUCAGCAAUCCACGUGGUUUAGGUAUACAUUGACAGCGUUUGGAAGAAUUACAAAACAUAACGCACACUCAACCAAAGUAAGUAAACUAGCACAUUUGAAAGAAACCCAAUUUUCGUUUUAAUCAACUUUUAGAUUUUGCAGCACAUCACUGAUAUGGAUUCAAGAUUCAUUUGCUGUACAGUGCAUACUAAAUUAGGAACUAAACCAAAAUUAAGCGCUCGAGGACGAUAGUCGUUGGAAUGUUUCAAAAGACAAUAUAAUUUUCAUCGUUGAUCCCAAGUUAGUAUUAGCUGGAACCCGCUUUUUAUCAAAUAAUGAAAGUUACGUGAAGCACUACUGAUUAUGAAUUAUUCUCAUGAAAAAAUAUAAUAAAUUAUAAUAAAAUAAAACGCUAUUAGAUUUGCAAAAGUAAA